rnacentral:lncRNA from 1 species
CGGGGGCGUACUUGCUGUUCUCUGGCUGACCCCAAGUUGGAACUGGGGGCAGAAACUAGGUUGUCGUGAACUAAGUCGCGCCCGCCCUGCGCCAGGGCCGUGGAGGUGUGGGCUGGGCUUCCCUGGUCACAAGUGGCUCAGCCACUGUCCCUCUUCAGGAAGGAUGACACCUCUCCAGAUACACCCACUUACAGGCGGGGGGGGCAUUAUGAAAUAAUUCAAACGUGCAGAAAACUGGAGUAAGGAAAUAAAUCACCCAGAUCUCACAAAUGUUAACAUUUUUGCUAUAUUUGUACCAACCAAUUUUUUUCUUACAGAAAUAAAUUUAAAAUAUAGAUUUUUAUAUAAGUCAUUUGAAAGUAUUCGCCUCCUUCUUUUUAAAAACUCUGGCAACGGUAAGUAGGAGAGGAGAAAACUGCAGUUACCUAACACCCCUUUAGAGGAGGCAUGUCCUGGAGGCCCCAGGCUGCUGGGCCAAAAGCACCCUGAAGCUGCUGGGAGGGGUUCCUCCUGUCAGCGGCCCCCCGACUGUGGAAGCCCGCCUGUGUGCAUCCCAUGCCUCCCGCUGUGUGGUAGGAAGGAAGAGGACGGGGCUAAGGCAGAGUCGGAUAACGAGCCCUUCAGCAGAGAGGGGCGCUGUUUUCGGCAUCUUCACAGCAGAGCUUCACGCCGUGUUCUGCCAACCCCACUGGAAGAAGAAACACCUGGAAGCUACGCGGCCAGCCCACGGGCACUUCACCUGCACAUCAAGGGCCUGCCUCAAAGCAGGGAAAGAACGAUAAACUGAGUCCCACCAAACGCUGUUAGCUCUCUAAGCCAGUGCAAGCAAGGCCCCUGCGGGCAACCCACUCGCUGUCCCUCAGACGCCACAUCCGAGGCACACGCUGCAGCCCGCUGGCCUUGCCGCCUACCCCGAUGAAGUGGGACCCACCGAACAACAAAGCCUCCAUUCCCCAGGGUCUUGCAACUCUGCGGCUCCCGUGACGGGGGAAGGUGGGAGGAGCUGCUCAGACACACAGCCUCGCACGCCAACGACGCUCUUCACCGAUGCCGGUAGACAUGUGUGUUGCUUAGCCAGUCUGACAUACACAGGGCAGUGACAGGAAAAGGCCCAUAGGAAAGAGCGUUCAUUCAGACCUGACCCAGAGACCCAGGGCUCUCACACUCUGAGACUGUGACCUGGGAUGAGAAAUACACUGGCUGCUUUACCUUGAAAUGAGCCGCAACUGUGAUCUGGUACACGUCUUUUGUGAGUGGGUGCAGCACAUCGCACAUUUGCAAUUUGGCCCAGGUGUGACAUCUUCUCAAGGGCGUCACCCAGGAAGACAUGGUCCUCAACCACCCUCUUCUAAUUUCUGCAACUGGAGAUACCGGAAGCUUUGAUGUAAGACACCUGGCUUCCAGUUUAGAACAGAUGACUUACGAAACCUGGGAGGCAUCAGCUGAUGUGACAAGUAAAGACAAAUCCUGGCACCAGACCCAAACACAGGAGGGAAUUCCUAGUUCCCCGUGAGGUGGACGGGAAGCAGGGAGGCAGCGGGCACUGUGUUUGAGGAGCUGAGGUUCUUUGAUGCCUUCCACCGCUCUGCUGCAUGGAGCCCAGCGCCACAGCUGCUAUCAACAGUGUUGAGGAAGGACCAGUUACCCAAAAGAGCACAGGAAAAAGCUGUUUCUGCAGACAAAGCCCUGGGCCUUUCCUGGGACCCCCAUCCGCCACAGGGCUGCACAUUUACAAAAGGGCUACAGCUUCCCAGAGGUUCAAGGAUUCCCUUCAUUUGCUCUUUCAGAGGGCAGGGAGAGUGGGGAAGGACUCCUGGCCACUGGCUGAAUGCCUGGCAUCGGCUUGGGACCCGUACAGCUCGGGAAAGCAAGACUCACCCGUGGGAAGAGAAAGCCAUGGUGGGUUUGGUCGAUACAGAGAGAGGCGGCAUUUCCUUUGCUCAGAUUAAGCAGCAAAUAAAUUAAAAUACAUGAAAACAGAAGGGCAGGGUGACACCACGCAAACUGCUGCAGGCCAAUCCAGGCCACCACUAAGCGGUUUACAGCCUGCAUUCUGUUCUGAGGGUGGCGAUGGUGGGGCAGGGCAGGGCAGGGCAGGGCAGGAGGCGCCACAGCUCAUCAGAACCCAGAGGCGAUGAGAAACAGCCUCAUGGCACCCUCUGGGGAGAGAGAUGGAUGGGCCAUGGCACAAGGGAGCACCUCACAGGCCACAGCCCUCGGGGCUCUGGGAGGCUCCUGAGUCCCUCCCAGACAGAGAUCACCAUGGACCAGGCCUUCCCUGUAUGGCCCACGUGGACACACUCAGGGUUCUUGGGCUUUCAUGGCAGAGCCAUUCCCUACAUGGAGCAUCCGUGAUCAGAUGCCAAUCAUAAACAAUUAGAGAUUGUACCUGGAAUAUAUACAGAAUGAUUCAAACUCAAAAAUAGAAAAGACAAGGCGGAAUUUCUCUAGAGACCUGCAAAUGGCCAACAAGCCCAGGAGAGGACGCAGAGCACCCUUAGUCACCAGGGAAAUGCGGGGUGACCCCGCCAAGUGGCAGAGCCAGUCACAAAGCCCCAGGCUGCUUGACUCCAUCCACGAGAAGCGUCCACACGGGCAAAUCUGCGGGCAACAGAAGGUGCAUUAGCAGCUGCCCAGGGCUGGGCUGGGGCAUGACGGGAGGGGAGCUGGGGACAGGGCUUGGGAGCACCUGGUACUGGGCACGGGGUUUCAUUUGAGGGUGAUGACAAGCACUUGGGAGGGCCUGGUACUGGGCAUGGGGUUUCAUUUGAGGGUGAUGAAAAUGUUUUAAAAUUAGAUUGUGGUGAUGUUGUGUAGCUUGGUAAAUAUAAUAAAACUCAUCAAAUUGUUUAAGUGGGUGAUUUUAUGAUAUGUAAGUUAUAUUUCAACAAAGCUCUCUUCCUACACACUCGCGACAGGCUGAGCACUGCUCACUGCCCUGCUUCCAGCCACAUGGCCCCACCGCAGCCGCUCCAGGUCAGCACCC